rnacentral:rRNA from 1 species
CUUUUACAAUGAAGAGUUUGAUCCUGGCUCAGGAUGAACGCUAGCUACAGGCUUAACACAUGCAAGUCGAGGGGCAGCAUUUUAGUUUGCUUGCAAACUGAAGAUGGCGACCGGCGCACGGGUGAGUAACACGUAUCCAACCUGCCGAUAACUCGGGGAUAGCCUUUCGAAAGAAAGAUUAAUAUCCGAUGGUAUAUUAAAACCGCAUGGUUUUACUAUUAAAGAAUUUCGGUUAUCGAUGGGGAUGCGUUCCAUUAGUUUGUUGGCGGGGUAACGGCCCACC